CCACUUGAACCAUAGCUCCACUUUUGUUUUUUUAUGGUUAAUUGGAGAUAAGAAUCUUAGAGACUUUGCUGCCCAGGCUGGUUUCAAACCAUGAUCCUGAGAGUACAGGUUUUGAGGUUUGAGCCACUAGCUUAUAUCUAUUUUUUUCCUUUUUACUACUUAUAGCCAUCUAAAUGCAAUUAUUGUUUAAAAUUAUAUCAGAAAUUAUUCUGACAUUCAAAAUGUUCAAAAAAUAAGUGAUUUUUUUACUCAUUCGCUCAAACUUAUGGAAUAUAGUCAUGCAGGUAUUCAUUUUCUAAUGAUAACACAACACAAUGUAGUAUUUGAUUAAUCAUGAAGUUACUGUAAGGUUUUAUGCUAGCUUAGCCUGACUGCUCUUAGGUAUAAUAUUAUAGAUAUUGUUAUGCUAGGCAUCCAGAUUUUAAAGAUUUAUUUUCUUCCAUCCAAUAUCUAGGUCCAACUCUUUUUCUAGAGUUACUGAUGAAUGAAUCUUGUUUGUAGUUUUUGGUGUGUUCCUUUCUAUCUACACAACCUUUUGCUUUAAUACAAAAUAAUCUAAUAAAAUUA